GUGGGGAAUCUUGCGCAAUGGGCGAAAGCCUGACGCAGCCAUGCCGCGUGAAUGAUGAAGGUCUUAGGAUUGUAAAAUUCUUUCACCGGGGACGAUAAUGACGGUACCCGGAGAAGAAGCUCCGGCUAACUUCGUGCCAGCAGCCGCGGUAAUACGAAGGGGGCUAGCGUUGCUCGGAAUUACUGGGCGUAAAGGGCGCGUAGGCGGACAGCUUAGUCAGAGGUGAAAGCCCAGGGCUCAACCUUGGAAUUGCCUUUGAUACUGACUGUCUUGAGUUUGGGAGAGGUGAGUGGAACUCCGAGUGUAGAGGUGAAAUUCGUAGAUAUUCGGAAGAACACCAGUGGCGAAGGCGACUACCUGGACUGAUACUGACACUGAGGUGCGAAAGCGUGGGGAGCAAACAGGAUUAGAAACCCGAGUAGUCC
rnacentral:rRNA from 1 species